ensembl:lncRNA
CGGAUGAGAUCAUUUACUACUACUAGUAAAAUUUGUUUUCAAGCAAUAGAAAUAAAGUUUAUAACUUAAUGUUUUAAAUGACAAUGGCUUUGGGAACCACCAGUGGGGCUCACAAAGUUCUAGUAGAGGAUAAACAUGUUCAGAAAAGAGAAACAUCCAGAGGGUAGAAGUAAAUUCCCAGGUUAACGGGGAUCGGUAAACUGUCUUUUUCAAGCUCACUAUUCAGACCCUAGGGAGGAAAUGCUGAAAUCCCCUUUUGGGGUAACUUGUCAACUUUUUGGUUGACAAGAAGAGCAACAUACUUUGCAUAACAGCGUUACCAGAUUAAAUUCAGUGAGUGAAAGUAAUUUGCUCUGAGGAACUUGGAAUAUUUUUAGAAGUAACCCAUACAUCCCAGUUUAAAUAUGAGGGAACUAAAUCUUAGGGAAGUUAAAUGCCUUGCCCAAAUUUAAACAUUUAGUAAGUGAAUGAAUCCAUAUUAAAGCCAAACUCCCAGCAUUCAGAUCAAGAAAAUUGAAGACUGAGAUGACUCUUUUAUGUAGCAUUUCUAGUGGUUUCAUCAGCAUGGUGACCAGGUAAGAUUACAUCAGGUUUUCUGGAGCCAGUUUUAAAUAAGCAGAGCCAUUGAAUACAAGGUACUUUGCCAAGAUUUUUUUUAAGAAAGAAGAGGAAACAGCAAUUUGAUAGUGGAAGAGAGGAAGGGUUUUUUUUUUUUUUUUUUUUUUUACAAAAUAGGGAAAUUCAGGUUGGUUUGUAUUGAAAAAAGGUGAGAGGUUGAACAGAAAAGAGAAGACACAUUGAUGAAACAAGAUCUUGUCAGAGGCAGAAAGGAGUGGAAUCAAAAGGUCAGAUGAACAAGAGAAUGAAGAUUUUUCUCAGAUGCAAAGUGAAGUCCCUAUGAGUAAAGAUACUGAUAAAUUUGGAGAUGUAGAGGAGGGAAGCGGAGUGGGUUCACGCCUGAUAGCCUCAGUGUUCUCAGCAGUAGGAGGUGAAAUCAUAUGUUGAGGUUGAGGGGAGUGAGGGUGAGAGAGGGGUAUCUGAGGAGGGUGUGGUGGGAACAGCUGCUGUGUGGAAUGGGAAGACCAGCCAAGUAGGAAUGAGUAAUAGGGCUGCUAAACAGCUCAGAGUUCAGCUGACAACGGAAAUCAUAAAUUUGUAGCAGAGUCAAUCAGCGUGGUUAUUCAAUUUUCUCAGUAACUCUUGGCAGCCCAGGAGGAGGAGGAGAGCAAACAGAUGGUAGGAUUGAUUUGGUAAUGGGAUUGGCAAGGCAGCUGUGAGAGGUCAAAGAAUGGAAGAAUCAAUUGCACCCAGGAAAGUGUGUUAUCAGGGGGAUCAAAAUUAGGAAGAGAUGACAGUUGAACCAGGAAGGACUGGACACUGCUAAAAAAGUGGACGGGAAAAGUUGCCUUUGAAGCCUAAGAAGAAUUUUUCUGGGCAUGAGAGGGAUAGGGGAUUAGAGAGGAGAAUUUCACAAUUCUGGAUAGGACAGUAGAACACUUUUUGUUUAGCAACAACCCGUUUUGUAUCCAUGGGUGUGGAUUGCCAAAGCUGAGUGGGAGUGUUAGUCACUGAAUAUAGGGGCAAAAGAAUUUUGAAGCUAAAUAGUUCAGUGAGUCAUCCAAGUCAUCUAGGAUGAUGACAAGCAAUAGAAGAAAAACAAAACCAACCAACCAAACAAACAAAAACACCAAAACCAAAAAACAAACAGGUCAGUUGCCAAAUUAUCCUAGUGAAUUGAUGAAGUACUUGUAGUUGACAAGAUUUAAAAGACAGUUUGAUUAAUUGUUUGGGUUUUGUAGACAGAGGGUUUAUUGAACGAAGAGAACAAAACAAUGUCUCAGAACUGGGAGGGAAAGUCCAAGAGAAUGUCCCUCUUCCUCUUUGCCCUGAGAUAGGAAGAUGCUUACUGCUUUUUCUAGUGUGUAGUGAAAUCUAUGUGAAUAAAACAACUCAUUGCAAGCAAUUCCCAUGCAUGACAACUUAAUUUGUUUUUAGCCUAAGAUAUGUUCUAGUGGAUAAAUUUCUUCUUCUCUACUAAGUCUAAUACUAAUUUGCAUUUAAACAUAUCGUAAUAUAACCUCACCUAAACACAAAGUGCCUGACUACCAAAAAAAAAAAAAAAAA